rnacentral:ncRNA from 1 species
ACAAACACGAGGAAAAAGAGAGUACAUCAGCAGAUACUUUACAGAGAGAUUUCCAGCUGCGCGGUUGCAGCUUGCUGCGAGGAAAUGAGGAAGGGCGGAUGGAAGAUGGCUUUGGAGUGGCAGGACUGAACACUGGACGUUACUAAGGACAGCGAUAAGUUCUGACGGGACCGCCUGUUACAGCGGGGGAUAUUCGUUGCGAUAUCCGCAGAGGCACAGAGUGCAGAUUCUGUGUGAAUAGAAGUGGUACCACGGGAGUUAUCCCGUCUUCUGG